CCUCCCCUGCUGUGCCCAAACUGACGAUGGCCAAGUGUCGGCGGAACGUGGAGAACUUUCUGGAGGCGUGUCGCAGGAUCGGGGUUCCACAGACCCAGCUGUGCCUGCCCCUCCACAUCCUGGAGGAGAGAGGGCUCCCCCUGGUGGCCGGGAUGGUACGUGCGCUCCUGGAGCUGGCCCCGCCCAAAUACACAACCUCCCCUGCCACCACCACUAACCCUCUGGCCAUGUAGGGCAGCAGAGUUCCACACUCACUCAUGGAUGGACAGAUACAGGACCCACCCUCUCGCUCUCCGAAUGUACGUUAUAUGGCUUUCCCUCUCGACCACCCCCCACUUCCCCUCAACCCUAGACCCCCCCCCCCCC